GUUUCUCAUGGUAAAACAGAAGAUUCCAUCAUUAGAAAGUUAAUAGCAAAGUAGUACAAGAUAAAAGUCAGACAUGGCAAUGAAGAAAGGCCUGAGUACCUAUGCACAGGCUAGGACUGAGCACCAACCAGUCUUUACACAUUUACAGCUUGACAACAGUUUCUCUGAGGAGGAGGAGGAGGAGGAAAAAGAUAAUGAAAAUUCACAGACUGCUGCUUACAUAAUACAGUGAAAUCCUGGCCUUACUGAAGUCAAUGGUAAAACUCUAACUUCAAUGGCACCAGGAUUUAACUUUUGUACCUAUUGUAUUGGUAGUUCAACCAGUAUUUGUGACGGUGCCCCCCAUAAGGCUUUAUGGAAUAUGCUUAUGAUUGUAUAUGUGACAUAACUAGAAUAUGUUUUAGGCUACAUAUGCCAUGUAACAUUUCUG